CCAACCGCAAUUAAACAUCAUCAGAAGAAGAAGGAGCAAGGCAACAGUAUUCAAAAUAGUAAAACAACACAGGGAAAUGUGAUUUCCGUGGGCAGAAAGUGACAGUAGAACGUGUUAUAUUGUCAGAAAUAUGAAACGGAAAGAAGACAUUUAAUUCGGAAAUUAGGAUCACGGGGACAAUCGCUGAAGGCCGAGUGAAGAGACAUUCAUUGGACAUCAUUCAGCGCCUCGUCCACAACCAAAGAAGGAGAAGCAGCAGCAAGCUGGAGGAAAUUAACCUACUAUUGAAAAGAUGGAGUUUGAGGAAGAACCCUACAGAAUAAAAGAUGAAGAUACAGAGGUACAAAUAGACCUGAUGGAAGUGAAAGAAGACAAACAGAAAAAAACUCAUUUCAAAAAUGAAGAUGAAAAUGAAGUCAUUUCAAAUACUGAAAAGAAUUUCACACAGAAACGAGCUGGAAAAACUGGAGUCCAAUCAAACCUUAAGAGAGAAUACACUGGAGAAAGACGGUUCUCUUGCACUCAAUGUGGAAAGAGUUUCACUUAUAAAAGAAGCUUAAAUGAUCACAUAAAUAUUCACACUGGAGAAAAACCGUUCACAUGCACUCAGUGUGGAAAGAGUUUCAUAUAUAAAGGAAGCCUUAAUGUGCACAUGAGAAUUCACACUGGAGAAAAACCGUUCACAUGCAUUCAGUGUGGAAAGAGCUUCACUCAAAAAAGUGCUCUCAAUGAUCAUCUGCGCGCUCACUCUGGAGUGAGAUCGUUCAGCUGUGAUCAGUGUGAUAAAACAUUUGUUUUGGAAACAAGCUUAAGAGCACACCUUAAACUUCAUGCAGAUGUGAAACCUCACAUUUGUUCUUUCUGUGGAAAGGGUUUUUCACUACUCAAUCCUUUUAAAGUGCAUGAGAGUAUACAUACUGGUGAGAGACCUCAUGUGUGCGUUGACUGUGGGAAGACCUUUAUUUCACCUGCCACCUUAAAGAGACACCAGAGAAAUCAUACUGGAGACAAACCAUACAAGUGCUCACACUGUGGAAAGCGUUUCGUUCGGUCAGAACACUUGAAAGAUCAUGAGAGAGUUCAUACUGGAGAGAAGCCGCACCAGUGCUCUUUGUGUGGGAAGAGUUUCAUCCAAAUAUCUCAUCUACAGGUUCAUAAGAAAAACCAUUGCCCAAAGAGGACUAAGUGAGCAAACUUUCAUGUUCAGAUCUAGGGGUGGGCAGUAUACUGGCAGAACAGGGGUUCCCAAACACGUUCCUGGAGCCCACCCCCAACACUGCACAUUGUCCCCUUUGUCUGACACACCUUUUUCAGGUCUUGUAGUCCUUACUAAUAAGCUGAUGACUUGAAUAAAGACAUGCAAAAUGUACGUGAUUGGGAACCACUGCGGUAGAAAUUUGUCAGCUAGUAGAGAUUUUGGACUAUUUUCUUCACAUAUGAUGUAUAUGACUGAAAAAAGAUUUUUGGAAAAAUAAUCCAUCUCUGCAUAUAAUGCACAGAACUUCCAAAGUUGAUGCUUCAAAAACUACAUAGUGAAAACAGUAGUAAUCCAUACAACUUCAGUUGAUGAAUCUAUAGACGAGUUUUCAUCCACUUUUUGCACUGUUUUGUUAUCAACAAAGUGAAAAUAUUGUGAAAUUUGCUAUCUCCAGGCUGUUUCCAUCCAAUUGGCCUUUUACCGAUAAAAUGGUGUGUGUAAUGACGUCAUCCCUAAAAGAAAAAGCAUUGUCGCAUAAGUUUUGUUGUAUCGCUAAAACAAAAUCUGCCCUCGAGUCAUUUCCAUACAUAAUUUCUCCUAUGUAGCAAAUUAUAAUUGUAUCUUUUGCGUCCCAAAUAUGCAGAGAGUAAUGAGACACUUGGAAUUCGCCAGUUUACUGCUUACUAUUUUCAUGAAUAAUAAGCCUAUUACUAAAUUAGGAAAUAUUAGGAAAUCAAAAGUCAUGGCAAAGUGGGACAGUUUGUAUGACAGGACUGUUGCGAUCCCAGUUGGACUUAUGAAAGCUGCCUGAAUCAUAAUCAUGCACUGUUCGCUGUUGGCCAGAGGAGAACUGGCCCCCCGACUGAGCCUGGUUUCUCCCAAGGUUUUUUUCUUCAUUUUAACACCUGUUUGCUACCUGAUGUCACCUGUUGGAGUUUGGGUUCCUUGCCGCCAUCGCCUUUGGCUUGCUUAGUUGGGGACACUUGAUAUUCAACCAUGUUUUGAUCUGCCUGCAUCGACACUUUUGUAUGUGAACUGAACUGAGCUGGAUGAUGACAUCACUGUUUGCUCCAGUGCUGAUAUAAUUAAUUAAAUUAAUUAAUAACUAUUGAUUCUUACAACGGAAUGAAUCAAUACUGAAUUUACUUAAGCUGGACAAUGACACCAUUUUCUUUAAGAGCUGCUGUGCAGCCAAAAUUAUAUACCAGUUAUCACUGUAAAGCUGCUUUGACACAAUCUGCAUUGUAAAAAGCACUAUAUGAAUAAAGGUGACUUGACUUGCAUGUAACUGCCUUUAUGUGACGAAAGCCCAUGGGUUUGGACACAGGGCAGCUCAUUUGUCCUGUAUGCAAAAUUUUAGUGUCCAUAAAAAAGAUUGGUAGCAUGUUCAGUUAUUUGUGUAGGCCUAUAUUUAACUUUUUUUAAAUAGUCUAUAGCUUAACUGAUGUUGCCUUAACAAUUCUAAAAUUUGUUUAGAGCUUUCUGGAUUCAAUCCACUUUAUUUUCCUAAAUUUUCAAAGUAAAAUUAGCCUAUAUUACAGAUUAAUAAAUUGUAUUUAUAAAAUAAUUUUAUUAAUGUGUCAUGUUUGUGAUUUUUCAUUUGUCAAGUAGCCUCUGACCAUGAAAUUGUGAUUUUAUGACAUUAAUUUUAUUUCUUCAAGUACAGAAGUAAUAUGUUGUGUAUUUGAACUUUUUUGUCAGCAUUGGAAACUCCAACACCUUUACUUCAUUUGACAGAUGCCCUGUUUUUGUUAUUAAUGAGCUGCAGAGAUUAAGAUGCUAUAUUUUCCUCAUACAUUUGAAACAGAACUACUUAUGUAUUAUUAAAUUGUACAUAAAAUUA